UGUGGGAGCGAGCUUGCUCGCGAUGAGGUCGUGUCAGUCGAUAUCAAUUUUGCCUGUCACACCGCAAUCGCGAGCAAGCUCGCUCCCACA
rnacentral:misc_RNA from 1 species